AUGGCUCAGAACGAACGCUGGUGGCGUGUCUUAUACAUGCAAGUCGAGCGAGGCAGCAAUGCCGAGCGGCGAACGGGUGAGUAACGCGUAAGCAAUCUGCCCCAUAUCAGGAAAUACCCGUGCCAACGCGCGGUUAAUGUCCAGGAGAGUGGCUCCCCGCAUGGGGAGUUGACUAGAGAUUUAUCGGUAUGGGAUGAGCUUGCGUCCGAUUAGCUAGUUGGCGGGGCAACGGCCCACCAAGGCGACGAUCGGUAGCCGGCCUGAGAGGGUGAUCGGCCACAUUGGGACUGAGAUACGGCCCAGACUCCUACGGGAGGCAGCAGUAGGGAAUAUUGCACAAUGGGGGGAACCCUGAUGCAGCAACGCCAACCGUGUGGGAAGAAGCAUUUCGGUGUGUAAACCACUGUCGUGAGGGAAUAAGGCCCAGUUUCGGCUGGGAUUGAAUGUACCUCGAAAGGAAGCACCGGCAAACUUCGUGCCAGCAGCCGC
rnacentral:rRNA from 1 species